rnacentral:rRNA from 1 species
GAUGAACGCUGACGGAAUGCUUAACACAUGCAAGUCAACUUGAAUUUGGGUUUUUAACUUAGGUUUGGGUGGCGGACGGGUGAGUAACGCGUAAAGAACUUGCCUCACAGCUAGGGACAACAUUUGGAAACGAAUGCUAAUACCUAAUAUUAUGAUAAUAGGGCAUCCUAUAAUUAUGAAAGCUAUAAGCGCUGUGAGAGAGCUUUGCGUCCCAUUAGCUAGUUGGAGAGGUAACGGCUCACCAAGGCGAUGAUGGGUAGCCGGCCUGAGAGGGUGAUCGGCCACAAGGGGACUGAGACACGGCCCUUACUCCUACGGGAGGCAACAGUGGGGAAUAUUGGACAAUGGACCGAGAGUCUGAUCCAGCAAUUCUGUGUGCACGAUGAAGUUUUUCGGAAUGUAAAGUGCUUUCAGUUGGGAAGAAACAAAUGACGGUACCAACAGAAGAAGUGACGGCUAAAUACGUG